rnacentral:rRNA from 1 species
GAUGAACGCUGGCGGCAGGCUUAACACAUGCAAGUCGAGGGGUAGAGGUUGCUUGCAACCUUGAGACCGGCGCACGGGUGCGUAACGCGUAUGCAACCUACCUUUUACAGAGGGAUAGCCCAGAGAAAUUUGGAUUAAUACCUCAUAGUAUAUAACCUUCGCAUGUUGGUUAUAUUAAAGUUCCAACGGUAAAAGAUGGGCAUGCGUCCUAUUAGCUAGAUGGUAAGGUAACGGCUUACCAUGGCAACGAUAGGUAGGGGUCCUGAGAGGGAGAUCCCCCACACUGGAACUGAGACACGGACCAGACUCCUACGGGAGGCAGCAGUGAGGAAUAUUGGACAAUGGGCGCAAGCCUGAUCCAGCCAUGCCCCGUGCAGGAAGAAGCAUCUAUGGUGUGUAAACUGCUUUUGUACAGGAAGAAACACCCCGACGUGUCGGGGCUUGACGGUACUGUAAGAAUAAGGAUCGGCUAACUCCGUGCCAGCAGCCGCCGUAACAC